UAGUCCACGCCGUAAACGAUGGUCACUAGUUGUUGGGGCUUUAUGCCUCAGUGAUUAAGCGAAAGUGAUAAGUGACCCACCUGGGGAGUACGAUCGCAAGAUUGAAACUCAAAGGAAUUGACGGGGGCCCGCACAAGCGGUGGAGCAUGUGGUUUAAUUCGAUGAUACGCGAGGAACCUUACCAGGGCUUAAAUGUAAGUUGCAUAGACCAGAGAUGGUCUUUUCUUCGGACUACUUACAAGGUGCUGCAUGGUUGUCGUCAGCUCGUGCCGUGAGGUGUCAGGUUAAGUCCUAUAACGAGCGCAACCCCUGUUGUUAGUUGCCAUCGAGUAAUGUCGGGAACUCUAACAAGACUGCCGGUGCAAACCGCGAGGAAGGUGGGGAUGGACGUCAAAUCAUCACGGGCCCUUACGUCCUGGGGCCACACACGUGCUACAAUGGUAGGUACAGAGAGCAGCCACUGGGGUGACCAGGGAGCGAAUCUAUAAAGCCUAUCACAGUUCGGGAUCGGGA
rnacentral:rRNA from 1 species